rnacentral:rRNA from 1 species
AUUGAACGCUAGCGGGAUGCUUUACACAUGCAAGUCGAACGGCAGCGCGGACUUCGGUCUGGCGGCGAGUGGCGAACGGGUGAGUAAUGUAUCGGAACGUGCCCAGUAGCGGGGGAUAACUACGCGAAAGCGUAGCUAAUACCGCAUACGCCCUACGGGGGAAAGCAGGGGAUCGUAAGACCUUGCACUAUUGGAGCGGCCGAUAUCGGAUUAGCUAGUUGGUGAGGUAACGGCUCACCAAGGCGACGAUCCGUAGCUGGUUUGAGAGGACGACCAGCCACACUGGGACUGAGACACGGCCCAGACUCCUACGGGAGGCAGCAGGGGGGAAUUUUGGACAAUGGGGGCAACCCUGAUCCAGCCAUCCCGCGUGGGCGAUGAAGGCCUUCGGGUUGUAAAGCACUUUUGGCAGGAAAGAAACGUCGCGGGCUAAUACCCCGUGGAACUGACGGUACCUGCAGAAUAAGCACCGGCUAACUACGU